rnacentral:ribozyme from 1 species
CUGGAACACGAGCGCAAGAGUAAUAUGCAGCCUUCAAAGAAAAAGAGACGACAUCACCGACAUUCGGCAAUGGGUGAAUCGG